rnacentral:rRNA from 1 species
UACGUAGGUGGCAAGCGUUGUCCGGAAUCAUUGGGCGUAAAGCGCGUGUAGGCGGUUUGUUAAGUCGGAUGUGAAAUCCCUGGGCUCAACCGAGGAAGUGCAUUCGAAACUAACUGGCUAGAAGAUGGUAGAGGAAGGUGGAAUUCCAAGUGUAGAGGUGAAAUUCGUAGAUAUUUGGAGGAAUACCGGUGGCGAAGGCGGCCUUCUGGACCAUUCUUGACGCUGAGACGCGAAAGCGUGGGUAGCAAACAGG